rnacentral:rRNA from 1 species
UACGUAGGUGGCGAGCGUUGUCCGGAUUUACUGGGCGAAAGAGCGCGCAGGCGGUCGGAUCAGUCGAAUGUGAAAGCCCCCGGCUUAACUGGGGAGGGUCAUUCGAUACUGUUCGACUCGAAGGCAGGAGAGGGAAGUGGAAUUCCCGGUGUAGUGGUGAAAUGCGUAGAUAUCGGGAGGAACACCAGUGGCGAAGGCGGCUCACUGGACCGGUACUGACGCUGAUGCGCGACAGCGUGGGGAGCAAACAGG